rnacentral:lncRNA from 1 species
GUUCCCUCCAUUUGCUGUACCUUUUAACAUACAGUUCCUCAAUCCCUUGUCAUGCUGAUCUCUUUGUCUUCCAUUUUUGCAAGGCCACUGCUGUCUCUCCCUCCUCUGGGGAGGACGGGGUAUCAUACACCCGGCCCUUGUGGAUCAUUCCAUUCACCAGGAGCCCUCCAGUCACACAUGAAAUGUGAAGAAGCAAUUAAGCCUAAUCCGGCACCUAGACAUUAUUUGAUCUGUAAAACAGAUCUUUAAAAGAGAGAAACAAACUAAAGAGUAGCUCCCCAGUUGUUCCAACAAGCACAAGAUAGGUUUUAAAAGGAUUACAUAAAAUCCUUCAAGGAAAGUUCAUGUCAUCAUCCUAAAAAGAUUUCAGAUUGUGUAAGGAAAAAAAUUUAAUAACAAAAUUAGAAAGUGAUUCAGUCCAUUUUUUUUUUCGCCACAUAAGGAAUGUGGAUUAAGCAAUCCGUGUGUGUUUUUAUAAUAUUUUUACAACAGAUCCUGUCUCACUGAUGUCAUUCUGCAUUACAGAGAGAGUGGCAAAGGGAUUCUGGAGGCCACAGAACACCUUGGGCAUGAGGAGAGGGCUGGACAGAGAAAGGACCUAAGAGAAUACUGGGGGGUGGGGACCAGGGUCACCACAACCAAAAUCCAUGAGUACCUUGGCAGGGGAAGCAGCUACUAAGAACUAGUAGACUUGCCAGUUCGGAGAAGAGGCUAAGCUCAGCCUCAGGGCAAGUAGGCCGGAGGCCACGCCUCCACAGUGGGAACAAGCUGCUGACUGGUCAUCCAACAGCCACAGCUUGCCAUCUCUUUGAUCCCAGCUCUCCCCACACUCCUGCCACGCUCUACAGCCCAGCCAGCGCCUCCAGCACCACUACACUACCAUGCCAGCCUCAGCCCAGGGCUGCCCGCAAUGCUCUCUCCCUUCUUCUUUGCCAAGGGACGUACCAGUGCUCACCCUUUGAAGCUCAGGAUAUACCUAUGUCUACAUCUAUGUCCAUGUCUAUCUUUAUCUAGUUUUAUAGGGAGUCAAGAUGUAGUAGUUCUACACACACAUUCACAUUCUCACCACUCAUACUAUUUACUAUAUCCCAGGCACAGGCUUAGGAGCUUAAAAUGGUCAUUUCUUCAGGGCAGUCUCCUCUGAUCACCAUCCAGGCCAGGCAAAGUACCUUGCUGUAAAACCUAUGGUACCAUGUAUCUCCCCGUUGUGUGUUAACUACAGUGUAAGUAGAAAUAUAAACUCCACAAGAGUAAAGGCUCACUGUCACCUCCUCAGCAUUUAGAAUAGAGUUUGGUACCAUAACAGAUGUUUAAUAAUUUUUGUGUGCUGAUUGGAUUCACAUCUAUCUCACAAGCUUGAAGUUAAGUUCUGGAAGCUUAGGUGGC